ACUUUUCCAAUUCAAUUGUGCUAAUGUGCCUUUCUGUUGAGUGACUUAGUACCAUUUUGGCUGCUGAGUGCUAUACUAUUAAGAAAUAAUUGCACUAUUCCGUUCAUUGCAAUAUUUGUUUAGUGAUUGUAACGAAAGUGAUACAUUGAUUCACCUUCACUCUUCAAUGUGCAUUUCACAAGUAAGAGAGAAUAGCAAGUCUAUUCCCUAAGUUAGUACGAGGAUGCACGAUGGUUGGCUAGGGAGAAUCUUGCAUAGAGUGAGCUGAGGGUCUGAACAUAGGACUCAGGUUCAAAGCUAGCGCUUGCGUCAUAACUAUCCCACUAGUUCAAAGCUAGCACAUGCUUUGUGACUAUCAACUAGCUAUUUUGAUCUCCAAAAUAUAGCUUUUGUGUGGAUGGAAUUCACAGUUCGCACAUGACUAGAUCUUUUAAACAUUCCCAAAUAAAUAGCGCAAAGCUUUAGAAUAGGUGAGUUUUUCGUUCCAAUAAAGAAAAAGAAAGCUGAGUUUUGUAUGGGCACCAUGUCUCUGGCAGCGUGAAAAAUGCUACAUUUUUGUCUUCAAGUGGCAGUCUCUUUUGGAAACAACAGUAAUAACAAAAUUAUUCUCCCAGUGGCAGUCUUUUGAGAA